ACUAAACUGUUAGAUGAAAUAUUACAGUUACAUGUGGGAAAGCCGAGCUAUCAUGCAGUACCUAGUCAACAAAUAUUCUCCAGACAGCUCCCUCUAUCCUAAAGACGCCCAGAAGAGGGCAAUAGUUGAUAGGAUGUUGUACUUUGAUUUGGGAACCCUUUAUAAAGCUCAAGGAGAAUU